rnacentral:snoRNA from 1 species
UUGCAUGUGGAAAUGUCUGCUCCUUAUUCCUUUGAGAGCAAGAAUACAUUCAUAACAUGCUACAUUAAAAAAGGAGUUCUUGGCAGUGCCUGUGGCUCAGUGAGUG